UACGGAGGGUGCAAGCGUUGUCCGGAUUUAUUGGGUUUAAAGGGUGCGUAGGCGGAGUCUUAAGUCAGUGGUGAAAGCCGGCAGCUCAACUGUCGAAUUGCCAUUGAUACUGGGAUUCUUGAAUUCAGUUGAGGUAUGCGGAAUUGAUGGUGUAGCGGUGAAAUGCAUAGAUACCAUCAGGAACACCGAUUGCGAAGGCAGCAUACUGGGCUUGAAUUGACGCUGAGGCACGAAAGUGUGGGGAUCGAACAGG
rnacentral:rRNA from 1 species